GGAAUGGUUUGGCGGGUUGGAGAUGGCACCCAUGUCAAAAUCUGGGAGGAUCCGUGGCUUCCUAGAGGCACUACAAGGCGCCCAAUUUCUCACAGAGAUACAGAGGACUGGAUUGCAUGUCAUUUUGAUGCAAAAGGGGAAUUCUCUGUUAAAUCGGCUUACCGUGUGUAUUUAGCGACCGAGCUACUGAAUUCUGGUAGCAAUGAAGGAUGGCCUUCGGUUGGUGAUUCAUGGAAGAAUAAAGUCUGGAGGGAUUUAUGGAAAUUGCAUUGCCCGGCAAAAAUACACCAUUUUCUUUGGAGGUUCGGCCAUAAUAGCCAUCCUUUGCAUAUGAAUAUUGCCAGGAGAAGAGUGGUCCUGGACACAUCUUGUGUUGUCUGUCAUAGGCUCUUUGAGGAUGGUGGUCAUUUAUUUUUCCGAUGCAAGGGUGUUAAACC